UUUUUAUCUGUGUCAGACUUAACUGAGUAUUUGAAUGGGUCACUGUUUGGAAUGAAGUGUGCAUACGCUGUCUAUUUUAGGACAUCUUCAGGGAUGUAUGGACACUCAGUCAUCUGCUCCUCUUGUUGUGUUUUCAGGGAUGAAGAGAAGAUGGCUACUGGAUGUUCUCUGGACUGGAUCCUGUAUCAGCAGCAGCAGUGGAAGAUCCAUUUUAGAUCUGGCUAUCAUCAAUAUCAUUUAUUAAUAUCAGAAUACAGACCUUUAGACUAAUGUGAGGAGUGUUGUCCAGUGUUCCUCAGCCCCUUCUGGACAGGUACAUAAUGGGACACUUCACGUUUCCUCAGUCCCUUCUGGACAGGUACAUAAUGGGACAGUUCACGUUUCCUCAGCCCCUUCUGGACAGGUACAUAAUGGGACAGUCCACUUUUCAUCACAUCCCCCAUGGAAAGUUACAGUCCACUUUAACCACCAACACCCCUUGCCUCCAUAACGUACAUGGGACAGUCUCACAUUUCUUCUAGAAUAAGACAUGACAGUCAUCCACUCCAGUUCACCCAAUGGGAUUCCAACAGAAUGACUUAUUCUACUGCACAUGUCUAAAGCACUGCCUU
ensembl:lncRNA